rnacentral:rRNA from 1 species
UACGGAGGGUGCGAGCGUUGUUCGGAAUUACUGGGCGUAAAGCGCGUGUAGGCGGCCUUCUAAGUCUGGUGUGAAAGCCCGGGGCUCAACCCCGGAAGUGCAUUGGAUACUGGGAGGCUGGAGUACCGGAGAGGAGGGUGGAAUUCCUGGUGUAGCGGUGAAAUGCGUAGAUAUCAGGAGGAACACCGGUGGCGAAGGCGGCCCUCUGGACGGAUACUGACGCUGAGACGCGAAAGCGUGGGUAGCAAACAGG